rnacentral:rRNA from 1 species
UGGGUGACGAGUGGCGGACGGGUGAGUAAUGUCUGGGGAUCUGCCCGAUAGAGGGGGAUAACCACUGGAAACGGUGGCUAAUACCGCAUAACGUCGCAAGACCAAAGAGGGGGACCUUCGGGCCUCUCACUAUCGGAUGAACCCAGAUGGGAUUAGCUAGUAGGCGGGGUAAUGGCCCACCUAGGCGACGAUCCCUAGCUGGUCUGAGAGGAUGACCAGCCACACUGGAACUGAGACACGGUCCAGACUCCUACGGGAGGCAGCAGUGGGGAAUAUUGCACAAUGGGCGCAAGCCUGAUGCAGCCAUGCCGCGUGUAUGAAGAAGGCCUUCGGGUUGUAAAGUACUUUCAGCGGGGAGGAAGGCGAUGCGGUUAAUAACCGCGUCG